CCUACGGUGAGGCAGCAGUGGGGAAUAUUGCACAAUGGAGGAAACUCUGAUGCAGCGACGCCGCGUGAACGAUGAAGGCUUUCGGGUCGUAAAGUUCUGUCCUAGGGGACGAUAAUGACGGUACCCUAGGAGGAAGCCCCGGCUAACUACGUGCCAGCAGCCGCGGGUAAUACGUAGGGGGCAAGCGUUGUCCGGAUUUAUUGGGCGUAAAGGGUUCGCAGGCGGCCUUUUAAGUCAGAUGUGAAAGACUACAGCUCAACUGUGGUAAGCAUUUGAAACUGGAAGGCUUGAGUUAAGGAGAGGAAAGUGGAAUUCCUAGUGUAGCGGUGAAAUGCGUAGAUAUUAGGAGGAAUACCAGUGGCGAAGGCGACUUUCUGGACUUAUACUGACGCUGAGGAACGAAAGCGUGGGGAGCAAACAGGAUUAGAUACCCUGGUAGUCCACGCCGUAAACGAUGAGUGCUAGGUGUUGGGGGUCAAACCUCGGUGCCGCAGCUAACGCAUUAAGCACUCCGCCUGGGGAGUACGUACGCAAGUAUGAAACUCAAAGGAAUUGACGG
rnacentral:rRNA from 1 species